ACCCCGUCCAGCACGCAGGGAGUUGAGACCGCGGUGCUUUGCCUUCGGCUCCUCCUCCUUCCUCUUCCCCUUCCUCUUCUCGCGACCGCUGCCUCAGAGGCCUCGCGGUCAGGCUCCGCUGCCCACCGCUUUAAGAGCCUUCAAAGAAGCGGGCUCCCGCCCAUGGCCAGCGGCCCCGCUUCGGGCUCCCCCGCGCGGGGCGGAUGGACAAGAUGGCUGCGGCCGAGCGGGGAGCUCAGAGCCCCUGCGCGCUUAAUCCCGUGGCUUUCAUUCAGCGAUGAACGUGCUCGGUGUUUUCACUUGACUGCUGAGGUGGUCGGCGCUGAAGAUAGGAACGUGUGGCUCUUAAGUCGGUUUUAGAUUACAAAGUACGUUUGGAAAGCUGGCACUUCGCAGAAUUCCCUGCUAGAAAAGUAGUUUUGCCUCUGUGAUGAUUGUAGUGUAAGUUGGAAGAGCUGACAGGACGUCUGGAGGACUGAGAAGGCAGCACCAAGAGAUAACGGGAUUUGUCAUGCCAGCACCAAACUGAGACUAAGCUUCAAACUUUUAUACAAAAUUAUUUGUUGAAAAAGGAAGCUUCUGCACUACUAAAAGGAGACGUCUGUGAAGUGCUGGACUGGGAGGCUGUGCAUGUCUCUGAAGGAAUUAACUUCAAAAACUUGACAGAAUGCAAACUCAAAUCAUUUAACAUUGUAUUUUGCUUAGCAACAAUAAAACAGUGACUGACUUUUACCAGAGCUGUAACUUGGGUCACUGGGGAGAGGGAUAAGAUGCUUUGACCUUCCAUGAACAUUUGUGGUAAAAACAGAACUGAAGAAACUUCCUGCUCAUGAUAAGAUUCAUCUUCAAGUACUUAAGGUUGAAUAUCCCCUAUGUUUCAUUCAUUUAUUAAAAAUGUGUUUUUAUAAAAGCAUGAAGACUACAGAAAACCAAUUAACAUACUCAAGUUAAUCUUGCAUAUUUUUUUCACAACUGUAUUUUACAUAUCACCAAAACUCUGCUUUAGCAAAAGAAAAAGA